GCUGUGGUCUAAACCACUGAGCCUCUUGGGCUUGCUGAUCAGUAGGUCAGAGGUUCGAAUCCCCGCAACGGGGUGAGCUUCUGUUGCUCUGUCCCAGGUCCUGCCAACCUAGCAGGUUGAAAGCACACCAGUGCAAGUAGAUAAAUAGGUACCAUUGUGGUGGGAAUGUAAAUGGCAUUUCUGUGUGCUCUGGCCUCCGUCACGGUGUCCUGUUGCGCCAGAAGCUGUUUAGUCAUGCUGGCCACAUGACCCGGAAAGCUGUCUGUGGACAAACGCCAGCUCCCUCGGCCUGAAGUGAGAGGAGCGCCACACCCCAUAGUUGCCUUUGACUGGACUUAACUGCCCAGGGGUCUUUUACCAUAUCUGUGCAUGCUGCAACUUUUUGUUGCAGGCGCCACGUGUUCACGUUCUUACAACUGCGAUUGAUGUGAAUUAUUUACCUCAUAAAGACAUCUUAUUCUCCUAAUCUACCCUUCAACCUGAGGGAUCCUGAGGCAGGAUACAAAAUAAAUAUAAGAAUACAUACAAUCCUGUAAAACACAAUAAGAGCUCAUUUGGGACAAUAGGAGCAGCUAAAACCACUGAGCCAGGGUAUCAGUCACCAUUUAGCCCUAAGUCCUCGACAAUGCCUAAGUAAAUAGGUAGGUAUUUACUCGGUGCCAGUAUCACAAGAGCUUUGAGCACAUGCUGCAAAUAAUGUUUAUGUUAUUGUGUGAAGACAUCAUGGGAUUGGUGGAAAGAGCCAAGUCAGAGAGAAAAAUAAUUUCUUACUAUUGCUGUCCCUCUUUUUCCUGGACAAUCAAAUAUGUCACGAUGGAAGCACUCCUUUUCAGCAACAAGAAUAAUAGAAUCAUAGAACUGUAGAGUUGGAAGGGACCCGAGGGUCAUCCAGCCCAACCCCACUGCAAUGCAGGAAUCUCAGCUAAAGCAUCCAUGACAGAUGACCACCUAACCUCUGCUUAAAACCCCCCAAGGAAGGAGAGCCCACCACCUCCCGAGGGAGUCCAUUCCACUGUCGAACAGCUCUUACUGUCAGAAAGUUCUUCCUGAUGUUUCGUUGGAAUCUUCUUUCUUGUAACUUGAAGGGCUGAGGCUUAGUGGAAGGGCAUCUGCUCAGGUUCAGUCCUCAGUGUCAUCAUAUUGGAGGCCCUCUGUCUGCAGCUCUGGAGAGGUGCUGACAGCCAGUGUAGACAGUACUGACCUAGAUGGAACCAGUGGACUCGGGAGCACAAUAUCACAAAAUCACAGCUCCAUCAGGCGAAAUGCCCACGGUUCUGCUCUUUGCGGCUAGGGAUGUUAUCUGGCACAUGAAAACCUAGGUUCAAAAUUAUGCCCCACUGGGGAAGCUUGAACCAGGAAAAAGUACGGCAUUACAGUGGACGCUCGGGUUGCGAACGUGAUCUGUGCAGGAUGCAUGUCCGCAACCCGCAGCGGUGCGUCUACGCAUGCACAGGUUGCGAUUCGGCGUUUCUGCUACCUGAUCCCCAGCUGAGCCAAGGUGAAGGACUUAAUGCUGGCCUAGCCCCAGCUCAGCUGGUAAAACCCAAGAUCUGCUGAAUGCAAACUCUCCUCCUGGGGGAACUUGGGUUUGGAUUGCACUGUCCUAUUAUAAGUUUUGUAGGUACCAGAGCCCAGUGACCCUUUGUCCUUCAGCAGCACCCUCCAAAGCAUAAAGGGUAGGAGUAAGCAUAGCAGGUUGUAUUUCCUGGGCUUUGCAAUAUAUUGAUCAGAAGGGAGAACAAACUUAUCUGCUCACUUCAUUUAUCCAGUUUUUCCAGGGGAGAGCACCAUCAGCAGCUGGCUAAGCAAAUUUUUUGCUGCGCUCAUCAUCAAAUACAGACUUGAUGUCUCUCCCAGGUUGUUAUGGUCUCUUCACCUACUGGGUCACCAAGACCCAGGGAUGCCUUCUCGAUCCCUUAUUGGCCAGGCCUCCACAUGCACACAACUUCUAUCUAUGUCAGGGUUACACAGAGCCAAACAUUCCCACUGCUAAUAAUCUGUUAUGACUCGAAAUCUCGGCAUUCACUGAAUUCAAUAGUCUUUUUGGUCUGCUGGGGACGGAUCACUGUGGCAUGCAGUAGGAACCCUUGCCUAUGUCCCUUUGGGGGGGAUAAAUGGGGGUUAGUCUGAUGCCCCACUACCAUAUUUACUUGAGUCUAAUGCGCCAUCAAAUCUAAUGUGUGCCUCAAAUUUUCAGAACCUUGAAACCAAAAAAAUAUUUGCUGGCGAAUGUAAGUGUGCCAUCAAAUCUAAUGCGCACCUUAAUUUUUGCAAUGUAAUUUGGCCAAAAGAAGCUGAGGAUUAGAUUCAAGUAAAUACUGUAUUUUUCUGCAGAGUUUUGGAGACCUGCAAUGUCACGCCCUUCCAGUUUGUAGCUUUGAAUGUCUACCCAUAAACCCUGAAGCUUAUUCAUAGUGAUUUAACCCAGUUUCAAAAGCUCUGUGUGGCUUCUCAGAAGCACUUCUUGACACCCGGGGCUCCUGAGGCUGUGAGGUUCUCAUUCCUUUUCUCCCUUGCUUUUACAAUGUGAAGAAGAGAGAGGUAGGAUUUAUUUAUUUAUUUUUUUAAAAAGUAAAAGGUUGCAAAUCACUAAAAAUAAACAUAUGUGCUCAAAACUAGGUAAUUCUUACGGCAUUUGGUGUUGCUGAAUCUCAGCAUUUCUAUGGAAACCACUUGUAUGGAAAAAAAGAUUUGCUGUCAGUGGCGUUCUUAUCUGAUAGAGCUCAAGCCAGGUUUAAAGAGGUUUGCCUUUAUCCUUAACGUGUUGCUGGCAAUCCUUGCAAAGGCGGCACGUUGCAAAUGUAUAAGGCUUGUCACUCUUCUGGAUGUGUUAUCAAGCAUUCAUCAGGAGAAUCCUGCAUCUGCCUUGGGGCUUGAUUUCCGCCCCCUUCGAAAACACCCUCAUUUCCCUAAUAGGCAUUCCUGAGAGCCACUCCCGUUUUGCAGGUUAAAGACUUGACCUCUGUUUUGGCAAAAUGGGUGGGUGGAGGGGUAAGGAUGGCAGCAGCAAAAUAAGCAAAGAGAAUGCCAGGUGAACCUGGUAUGGAUUUUUAUCUUGUAUUCAGGUGGGUAGCCGUAUUGGUCUGACGCAGUCGAAAUAUAUU